GACGAACGCUGGCGGCGUGCUUAACACAUGCAAGUCGAGCGGUAAGGCCCUUUCGGGGGUACGACGAGCGGCGAACGGGUGAGUAACACGUGGGUGACCUGCCCUCAGCUCUGGGAUAAGCCCGGGAAACUGGGUCUAAUACCGGAUAUGACUUCAUGACGCAUGUUGUGGAGUGGAAAGCCUUGUGCGGCUGAGGAUGGGCCCGCGGCCUAUCAGCUUGUUGGUGGGGUGANGGCCUACCAAGGCGACGACGGGUAGCCGGCCUGAGAGGGCGACCGGCCACACUGGGACUGGAGAUACGGGCCCAGGACUCCUACGGGAGGCAGGCAGUGGGGAAUCGUUGCGCAAUGGGCGAAAGCCUGACGCAGCGACGCCGCGUGA
rnacentral:rRNA from 1 species